AAAGGAUACCUUUAAGUAUGGUCAAGGAUACCCAUCAAUAUGGUCAGGUAUAUCCUUAAAUAUGGUCAGGGCCAAGGAUAUUCAUUCACAAGCUAAUCCUAAUAUUCUUUAUCCUUYCAGGGUGGUUUGAUCUCGAAGCAAUCGUACAUUAAACCGAGGCUAAUGAUGAUGGAUUUCUAAACGCUAAACUCAUCAUGGACGGAGCGACGAACAACACUAAAGUUUCAGACGAAGAAGGCUUGUUGUAUUUGACUGAAAUUGAGUCUAGGACGAGAUUAAUCUGUACCUUGAGUGUUCACAUUCAUACAGACUGAAGCUGCUUUUUAUGAUUUUUUGAAACAAAAAGUGGUAGGAAUUGAGAAAAUGUAAACCAGAUGGGUUUCAAAGCGAUGCCAAGGUACAUGAGCAAUGACGACUACAUCCCGGGCGGAGAGAGAUAGAGUUGGUUUUAUCACGGAGCAAUCGUACACUUAAUCGAGGCUAAGUAAGGUGGAUUUACAACUGUUACAGCCAUCAUGGACGAGACGACGAACGAGGCCAAGUAGGGCUCUGUGCAUGGCGUUCAGAUAUUGUUGAUGGCUUACAUCCCAUCAGGGGUGUACAGGCUUAGAAGGAUCAUCAUAACUUGUUUUUUUAACUGCAAUCUUAAGGGACUUGCAAAAGAUUAUAGUUGCGUUAGUUAGUAAGAAAUCCAAAUGCUAACGUCUCAUAUCUUGCAAAGGAAAAUGGCGCUUUUUCUAGUGGCUUUCCUUGUGCUGGGGAUUUCUGGUAUCGCAAAAGCUGGUCCUGGUUGGUAUAGUACAUUGCGCCCACACCCAAAGACAGGCCAGAUAUUUUUUCUUCACGGAUCGUAAAAACUGAAAUGACCAUAUAAGAUCGAUAUCUUAACAAUAGUUUUAACCCGUUGUCAAUGGCAAAGUCAGUAUCCCUUAACAAUCCUUAUGUGACGUGAAAUGAAUUCCUUAUUUCUAGUGGGUAACACCUAAAAAUAAAAARCACAUAAAAUUGUGGCCCUCUAAACCAAGGGCAAAAUUUUCGUCUCUUCAAAAUAAGACCGUAAAAAUCCGGUACCGAAUAAAAUCUAUGUGGUUGAUCCAUGACAUGUUCCUUUUUCCAGAGUAAGACUUUGAAGAUGACGACCUCUCGAAAGCUGCCUCCGGCUUCAAAUAGUCCCUUU